rnacentral:rRNA from 1 species
UCUCCUGGAAAACGGGUGGUAAUGCCGGAUGCUCCGACUCCUCGCAUGGGGUGUCGGGAANGAUUUCAUCGGUAUGGGAUGGGGUCGCGUCCUAUCAGGUAGUCGGCGGGGUAACGGCCCACCGAGCCUACGACGGGUAGCCGGCCUGAGAGGGCGACCGGCCACAUUGGGACUGAGAUACGGCCCAGACUCCUACGGGAGGCAGCAGUGGGGAAUAUUGCACAAUGGGCGCAAGCCUGAUGCAGCGACGCCGCGUGCGGGAUGACGGCCUUCGGGUUGUAAACCGCUUUUGAUCGGGAGCAAGCCUUCGGGUGAGUGUACCUUUCGAAUAAGCACCGGCUAACUACGUGCCAGCAGCCGCGGUAAUACGUAGGGUGCAAGCGUUAUCCGGAAUUAUUGGGCGUAAAGGGCUCGUAGGCGGUUCGUCGCGUCCGGUGUGAAAGUCCAUCGCUUAACGGUGGAUCUGCGCCGGGUACGGGCGGGCUGGAGUGCGGUAGGGGAGACUGGAAUUCCCGGUGUAACGGUGGAAUGUGUAGAUAU